rnacentral:rRNA from 1 species
AACGAACGCUGGCGGCGUGGAUAAGACAUGCAAGUCGAACGGGAUUUUUUUCUGUAGCAAUACAGGAAAAAGUCUAGUGGCGAACGGGUGCGUAACACGUGAGCAACCUGCCGUGAAGUGGGGGAUAGCUCGCCGAAAGGCGAAUUAAUACCGCAUGUGGCCAAGGAAGACAUCUUCCUGACGCCAAAGCCGGGGCAACCUGGCGCUUCUGGAGGGGCUCGCGGCCUAUCAGCUUGUUGGUGAGGUAACGGCUCACCAAGGCUAUGACGGGUAGCUGGUCUGAGAGGACGACCAGCCACACUGGAACUGAGACACGGUCCAGACACCUACGGGUGGCAGCAGUCGAGAAUUUUUCACAAUGGGGGAAACCCUGAUGGAGCGACGCCGCGUGGAGGAUGAAGGUUUUCGGAUUGUAAACUCCUGUCAUUAGAGAACAAGGCACACGGCUUAACUGGCCGUGUGUUGAUAGUAUCUGAAGAGGAAGAGACGGCUAACUCUGUGCCAGCCGCCGCGGUAA